AUUUGAUGGUGAGGGCAAAUAGCACAUAAUCUCUUGAAAUGCUCCCAAUAUUCAUACAAAGACUGCCCAGUUUGUUGGUGAAUGCCACAGAUUACCUUCCUUCCAUAU